GGUCGCGGUCUCUGUAGCCUCCGGCCCCGUUGCUUUCCGAGUGCCCCGCGCCGGAGGCUCGGACCCGAGGUCGACGCCGGGCGCCCCUCCUCCUGCCCGCCAUGGCUGCGCCUCGCGCACCCCGCGCUCUGACGGCUGCCGCUCCCGGGUCCGGGAAAGCCAAACUGACGCACCCCGGGAAGGCGAUCCUAGCAGGCGGCCUGGCUGGAGGCAUCGAAAUCUGCAUCACCUUCCCGACCGAAUACGUGAAGACUCAACUACAGCUAGAUGAACGCGCGAACCCACCGCGGUACCGGGGCAUUGGUAAGGAGGGGGCUGCCGGGGGCGGCGAGGGCGACACUGCGGGGCAGAGGAGCUAGGGUCCUGACCGCGCCUCCCGUAGGGGACUGCGUGCGGCAAACUGUCCGCAGCCAUGGCGUCCUGGGCCUGUACCGCGGCCUCAGCUCCUUGCUCUACGGCUCCAUCCCCAAGGCGGCUGUCAGGUGAGACUCGGCUCUGCAGGAACGACCAGGAGGGAGUGGCCAGAGCGGCCCCCUCACAUGACUUCUUCUUUAGGUUUGGGAUGUUCGAGUUCCUCAGCAACCACAUGCGGGAUGCCCAAGGUAGACUGGACAGCAGGAGAGGACUGCUGUGCGGUCUGGGUGCCGGCGUGGCAGAGGCAGUGGUAGUCGUGUGCCCCAUGGAGACCGUGAAGGUGAAAUUCAUCCAUGACCAGACUUCCUCCAAUCCAAAGUACCGAGGAUUUUUCCAUGGGGUUAGAGAGAUUGUUCGGGAACAAGGUAAGCUUGGAGAAUCAAGACCUCUGCCAAGUGGGAGAGCCUCUACUUGAGUGGCUCCCUCUUGACUACAGGAGGGGCCUGGAAGGCCCCAGCUUGACCCAUGUCUGCCUGCCCCAAGGGCUAAAGGGGACAUACCAAGGCCUCACAGCUACUGUACUGAAGCAGGGCUCAAACCAAGCCAUCCGAUUCUUCGUCAUGACCUCCCUACGCAACUGGUACCAAGGUAAAUCUGUGGCCCAGAGACACAUUCCAAACCCUGAAGGCUGGCUUGAUGCUGGAGGGGGAGGCAGGCAUCUGGUGCUACCCCAGAUUUUUCCUAGACUUAAAAACUCCCCUCUGACUUAAUCCUCCCAGUAUUCUGACUGCAACUGUACUCCAUCCAGGAGACAACCCCAACAAGCCUAUGAACCCACUGAUCACCGGGGUCUUUGGAGCUGUCGCAGGUGCAGCCAGUGUCUUUGGGAACACACCCUUGGAUGUGAUCAAGACCAGGAUGCAGGGCCUGGAGGCACACAAAUACCGGAACACCCUGGACUGUGGAGUGCAGAUCCUGAAGAAUGAGGGGCCCAAGGCGUGAGUAGGAUAAAAGCAGAGCUGUCGUCCCCGUUCCAGGCCCUCUUGCCUGCCCUAGGUGGGGUCUUCCUCCGUUGCUCACCUUAGGCUCUCUGCUCUACCCAGAUUCUACAAGGGCACCGUUCCCCGGCUGGGCCGAGUCUGCCUGGACGUGGCCAUCGUAUUCGUCAUCUAUGAUGAAGUGGUGAAGCUGCUCAAUAAAGUGUGGAAGACGGACUAACCCUGGAGGGUGCAAUGGGGCGUCCCAGCUCCUCCAGGCCACCUACUCUUGACGAUUCCAGUGCAGUAGUGCCAAAAGGCCCCUUCCUUUGUCCCUCAAGUUCUGUGGCCUGGUGUGUCAUAGUGACUGUCAUGUGUUCCUUAGUACUGUACUCCCAUGUGGUCUAUGUGUAACACUACUAUUGUAUCUGUGUCCAGCCUGGCCGUGGCUGGGUGUCUCUUUGGCCUGUGAAGACGUGCUCACUUACCCAUGUGCUUGCUUGUGAGCCAUGUGCCUGUUUCAUGUUCUAUGUCAUGUGACCCUGUGCCCCACUUCCUGGGGUGCCUAUGUGCCCUGGUCCAUGGCCUUGGAGCCAUGGUCAGGUCACAGUCCGGUGCCUUCCACCCCCUAUGGCAAGGGCGCCCUGCCCUGGCCUACCACAGCUGCCUCUGGGCUUCGGCCUGGCUUCACCGCAUUCCAGGGGCUAUAGGCCCCCCUGCUUCUCCCGCCAUUGGCCUUAAAUGGCCCUCGGGCCCUCCCUCUGCCCGGAACAGGGUGGCACCAGCCACUCUCAGGACCACCUUGCCAAGGAGAAUAAACCGGAUCCUGUUGCACUUUUCCUG
rnacentral:lncRNA from 1 species